rnacentral:rRNA from 1 species
UACGGAGGGAGCUAGCGUUGUUCGGAAUUACUGGGCGUAAAGCGCGCGUAGGCGGCUUUGUAAGUUAGAGGUGAAAGCCCGGGGCUCAACCCCGGAACUGCCUUUAAAACUGCAUCGCUUGAAUCCAGGAGAGGUGAGUGGAAUUCCGAGUGUAGAGGUGAAAUUCGUAGAUAUUCGGCGGAACACCAGUGGCGAAGGCGACUCACUGGCCCGAUACUGACGCUGAGGCGCGAAAGCGUGGGGAGCAAACAGG